ACCCUCUUCUGGUUCAUCCUUGUCUUUAGAGAACCAUGAACAUUUGCAUUAGGGAGAAGUGUUUAAUUAUUCACACAAACAUAAAAUGGGGGUUGUUUCUUUGAUCAUAUUUAUUAAAAACUAUAAAUAAACAAUCAACAGAUUCAUCUUGAUUAUCAAUUUUUAAUUUGCCUGAGCUGGCACAUGUCUAGCUGCGCUGCAGGGGGAGCUCCAGCACAAUCAGAAUCCUACAACAGUGACACUCCCAUCUGUCCCUUCACGUCUCUGUGGUACCAUCAGACAAACUGGCAGCGACUCUGGUCUCUGAGACCACUUUACUGAAAACACAGCAAUGAUCACAGCUGGUCUGGUUCAACUCUCUGCAGCUCUGCUCUGUUUUGCAGGUCUAACUGACAGCAGUGAUGUCACCCAGACCCCUCAGCUGUGUGAAAAGGAGGGUCAGUCUGCCACAAUGAACUGCAGUCACACUAAGGGCAGCACAUACAGGGAGAUGUACUGGUUCAGACAAAAGCCAGGGGAGGGAAUGAAGCAAAUCGUUUACACCACUGCAUACAACCCUCCUGAAUAUCAAGGUGGCUUCAGCAAAGAAAAAUUUCCAGCAACGAAGGAAGACACCGAAACAGGAUCUUUGACAGUGCACAAGCUGCUACCUGAGGACAGUGGAGUAUAUUUUUGUGCUUAAAGGACCAUUUAUUAGCAUACCAGAAGUUACCUGGUAACCAACCAGAAGCUGGCUCUUGAUCUGUCUCCUCCCCUCUUUGUUGCUCCCACAUCUCGAGUCACUAAGAGAAGAGAAGAUACUGGGACCAUGACUAG